GACUGCUGAGGAGGCCAUGACAGCAAUUGAAUCUACAUUUUCCUUGGAUUUGGCUUCCAAAUUGGACUGCAAAAAUGCAAGAAGACGGAGAAGAAGAGAUUUUAGCCCCUCAACUCCUUUAUGCCUAUGAAACCAACAUGUUUGGUUUUGCUGCCCAUCUUUCCUCAAAUUGCAACAAGAAGCUUAUUGAUGCAAGAGCCUAUUUCAAGGGAUAUGAAAAAUAUUUUGGAAAAAAAAUCACUGAAACAGUUGAUUACCUUUCUCCAAGAGAUUCUCAGGUUCAUG